rnacentral:pre_miRNA from 1 species
UCUCAAAGCGUAACACUCUAAAGAGAAGCGCUUCCUAUUUUUUUAGCCAACAGAAAGCACUUCCCUCUAGAGAGUCACAUCAUGAGA